UUUAUUGUCGGUGCCUGGCUGGAGCAUUGUGCGGCUCUGUUGGGUGUUCAAAGGACAGUGAGACAGAAUUCAGUUCCUGGCAUCUUUGGAUUUCAUGGCUUUGUUCCCUGCUAAACUUGGUAUCUCUAUUGACAAGAA
ensembl:snoRNA